CCUACGGGAGGCAGCAGUGGGGAAUAUUGCACAAUGGGGGAAACCCUGAUGCAGCGACGCCGAGUGAGUGAAGAAGUAAUUCGUUACGUAAAGCUCUAUCAGCAGGGAAGAAAAUGACGGUACCUGAGUAAGAAGCCCCGGCUAACUACGUGCCAGCAGCCGCGGUAAUACGUAGGGGGCAAGCGUUAUCCGGAUUUACUGGGUGUAAAGGGAGAGUAGACGGUGCGACAAGUCUGGAGUGAAAUGCCGCAGCUUAACUGCGGAACUGCCUUGGAAACUGGCGAACUAGAGUGCGGGAGGGGUAAGCGGAAUGCGUGGUGUAGCGGUGAAAUGCGUAGAUAUUAGGAGGAACACCGGUGGCGAAGGCGGCUUACUGGACCGUAACUGACGUUGAGGCUCGAAAGCGUGGGGAGCGAACAGGAUUAGAUACCCCAGUAGUC
rnacentral:rRNA from 1 species